rnacentral:rRNA from 1 species
CCGCGGUAAUACGGAGGGUCCAAGCGUUAUCCGGAAUUACUGGGCGUAAAGCGCACGCAGGCGGUCUUUUAAGUUUGACGUGAAAGCUCCCGGCUUAACUGGGAGAGGUCGUUGAAAACUGGAAGGCUUGAGGCAAUGAGAGGGGUGUAGAAUUCCCGGUGUAGUGGUGGAAUGCGUAGAUAUCGGGAGGAAUACCAGUGGCGAAAGCGGCACCCUAGCGUUGUUCUGACGCUCAUGUGCGAAAGCGUGGGGAGCGAACGGG